GGUUGAAGGUGGAGGUCAUUUCUGUGAUGAAAAAAAUAAAUUAAUAAAACCAUGGAAAAGAGAAUCUAAUUGGAGUGAGAACCCCAUCCUCCAUCUCCUAUAAUUCUGUUCUUCCAAUCACCAAAUCUAGACUGCUUGGGUAGUAAUGCUGGGGGCACAGGAGGACACCUUCCAGAACUUGCUAAUGAUUUCCAAAUCUGUUUCCCCAAGGACAACCUUUUUACUAGAGUUUCAGACCCACGUAUUUUUUACUGAGUACUGGACACAGAUGCUUCCAUUUCAGUAUCUCCAACCAAACUCCUCUUUGUCCUCUGACCUAAAGAAAUUAAGUCCAAAUACAUGACCCAAAAAAUUUAUGACAAGCCCACUCUCAUUCAAACAUUUGAAGAGCUUUUCAAGUUCAAGGAAUCGAGGUUAAAUCUGUAGACAAGAUGGACCCAUACCUUGCCUCUUCUAUUGGGGAACAUUAUUACAUUCCUAUAACCACACGUGGAGAAUAAGAACAGGGGCCAGAACAGCAAGAGGCUGAUACAGAAGGCAGAAGGCUCACAACAGAGCACUGGAGUCUGCUCUUCACACCACCUGCAAGGCAAGCCCUCAAGUUCCUCUCAUCACAGUUCCCUACCUACAAAUCAGAAUAAACCACCUAUCCCUUCCCUCCUGGAGGGACAAGAACGGAUGACCACACAGGAUAUGGGGGAGGGUGAAGAAUAGGCCACAAAGUGCUCCAGGCACCCUAGAAGCCAUGGCAUGGUGAUUGAAGAUAGCCAUCCCUGACCUUCAUGCCCACAGAGACGUACAGUACAAAUCAGACAGAGAGCCCCCAGCUGCCCAAUACCAGGCCUCUCCUGCAGUCUCCGCAAAGUCUGAAGCCCCACGCCACCAGUGGCACGAGUGACUAAGUAGCGAAGAAAGAAGCAAACAAAUAGACUCCCCAUCGAGCAUUGAGGCAAGAAAACAGCAAAGCCACUCACCAGUGGUCAACACCAGCACCUUGGGAGAGCUAGGCAGCUCUGCCUUAUCAAAAGCCAUGACCAGCUGCCAGGAAAACACCACUCUGGGAUGAAAGGAGAAAAUAUGGCAUCACCAGAGUUGAGUCACAUCCAGGCACCUGUUUGUGGCCCAUUCCAGCUCCCUCACCUUUCACUCCUCUUUCUGCUGAUCCCAACCUGCGAGCAUCAGUUCAGUUUCAGCUUGAGUUCACAUCUAUGUCCAAGCUCACCUGUAGAUCCCUACACCUUUCCAUUUCAUAGGGCCAAAAGACCCCAAAAGAAAAAAAAUCAGAAAAGAAAGACGAGGUCUCAAUGUACUUUACUGGGAGGAUCAGACAGUAAUUACAUAAAUGAAUAGGAUCAUUUCAGAUAAUGAUAUUUGCUGUGAAGAAAAUAAAACAAUGUCAAACAAAACAUGCAAAGCCCUCUUAAAGUUGGGAGUAAUUAUUGGAGAACCUCAUUCAAAUCCUACAAAAUUUAAAAUAUGUCCUUAUAAUCAGAAUAAGGCCAACAGAUACUAUGUUUUCAUCAAGAGAUGAGGCUGUUUGUGAUCAGCAUAUGAAUGCUCAUUUCUAAGGCACUCACACCCAAGACUCAACAAUCUCACGCCCUGCAGUGUCAACCACAAACUCUUAAUCUCUUUGUUUGUAGGCCAAGGAUAGAAAGUGAAACCUCCUCACUAGGAGAACCAGCCCUGUGUUUGGAGAGAGGGGAAGAGGCAAAGGUUUUCCUAUGUCUCACUGGAGACCUGUGAGCCUGACAUACAAAGAAACACAAAUCACUGUUUCUUGGCAGAAUCUCAAGUUGACUUUUUUGUUUGAAGUUUUCAAACAGCCAGAUGGUAAUCGCUCAGAUCUGCAUCUAUGGCUUUGAAGGCUCAAGCAUUCAAGGUCAGUUUCUUUUUUGUCUGGUUGAAGCCAGAAAAUUAGAGCCACUUUAUACCAAUAGUGAAAUGCUACCAUACUGGUGGGGAAACAGCUACUGCUGCAAGCCCCCAACUGCCUUCUGCCACUGUGUACUCCCCACCACACAGCCAUUAAUGGAUUAAUGCUAUGGCCAUCGAUCUGCAUGUACCCAGGCCAAACUGAUUAAAUAUUUAACGCCCCCAGCUGCACCAAUGGGGAAAGCAGACCUAAACCUCAAAAGCCUGGUCUUACAUGGGAACCUAAAACUAUUUGUUUCCUUUGCCAUCUUGCAGAAAGAUGAUUCAUCUAGGAGCCAAGGGAGCUGGGCUCUGGUCCACCUCCAGGCCUUGUUCUGUCUAGUCCACAUCCUGGUGUUACUCUGUCCCCUAAUUCAGAGCUGGGGUAUGUCUCUUUCGCAAGACUCUGUCAUUGCUCCAUGACAAGGAUGCCUGGGACUCUGGAACACAGGGCCUAAUUAGGAAGGAUCUUUGUAUUUAAGGAUACUCUUUCCUACUUCUUUAACCCCACCUCAUCUUCUGCCUCCUGAAAAAAUCUAGAGAUCAGACCCCUCUGGUGGAUAGACACAGAAGAAAUGAAGGCCUAUGGAUUUCUAGAAUAUCAUUAGCAGCAAUCAUUUGAAGUUGGAGUCCAUUAAAUCCAGCAGGCUUUGUUCCCCAGUUCAAACAGCCAAAAUACAUGGUGGUACACAUCUUUAGUCCCAGCUACUCGGGAGGCUUAGUUGGGAGGAUGGCUUGAACCUGGAGGCAGAGAGGUUGCUGUGAGCCGAGAUCGCACCACUGCACUCCAGCCUGGGCAACAGAAUGAGACCCUGUUUCAAAAAAAGAAAAAAAAACUGGAGAUGAAAGAAAGCUAUAACCAUUCCUGAGCUCGGGGGGGAAAAAUCAAUAGUUGACAACAAAGUUGUUUAUCUGUG
rnacentral:lncRNA from 1 species